UGUUAAUAUAUUUGCUCAAUGUAAUAAUUUAAACAGUAUCAGAAUUUUUGUGGCCUUGUUUUGAGACGUUUAGAACUGACUUGGAGUCACAGGUGAAGGUGACCCAGGCUUUUCUUCUUCCCUAGGAGGCUGUGUUGGGAUUGAGUAUGGCUUGUGGUUGUCCGGGUAGACAAUGGGGAACUGGAACUCAGCUGUGUUCUGGAACCUUGAGCACAGGGCUUUGGCAUGGAUCUCUCUACCUCUAUCACCUGUCCCUGCCCUUCAGCUGCCUGGGGUGAAGAAAGUGCCUUUGGAUGCAGAGAUGGGGGUCUCUCUGUGUUGCCUAAGGCCUUGAACUCCUGGCCUCAAGCCAUCCUCCUGUCUUGGCCUCUCAAAGAGCUGGGAUUACAGGCAUGAGCCACUGCGUCCAGCCAGAAUUACCAUUAAAUUAGACUCAAGAAGCAACAAAAAUGUUUGAACCAUUAUUUUAUCCUAUUCCAUGUAGUUUCCUGUAUGUUUCAAAUAUUUCACAAUACAAUAUAUUUUAAACAGUCAAUAAAGCUCAACAAACACAGACUCUUUCCAUGCCUUUAGGAAAAAUAUUAGUCACUCUUUUCCACAGUUGUACUUAUAGAAAUUGAGGCAAUCUUGUGAAAGGGUAAUUUGGCAAUAUUAUCUGAAUUAAAAACAUGUAAAUUCUAUUACCAAGCAAUCCCAGUGUUUUUGGGGUGGGGUGGGGACCAUUUUAUUAUAUCUCACAAUUCUAUCAACCAUGAAACCAGACAGGCCUGGCCUGGUGAUGCUUCUGCUCCAUAUCAGCAAAAAUCACUUGCUGGUGUUUACAUGGCAGAUUGGCAGGUCUGGAGGGUCCACAAUGGCUUCACUGAAGUUGGCAAGGGUGGGCUCCACUGGCACCAUCCACCAGAAUGCCCACAUGUGGCCUCUACAGCAUGCUUAUCUGAUUAGUUGAAUUUGUUACAGGGCAGACUACAUCCAUGGCCUUGCUGCUCAAAAUAUGGUCCACAGAACAGCAAACAGGCAUCACCUGGAAGCUGCAUAAUCUCUGCCCAGUAGUACCUUUUUAAUCACCUGUUUCUAGGAAAUACUAGUAAGCAUGUGUACCAAUAUAUGUACAAAGAUAUUGCCUGAGGUGUUUUUUAUAUCAGGAGAAUAAUGAAACCAAAAUCUCCAUAAACAGAAUGGUUAGAGAAAUCAUGGAAUACCCACACCAUGAAUACCAUGAAGCCAUUAUAAGAAAGAAAUAUGUGUAUAUUGGCCAGGAAAGAUGGCCAUGAAAUGCUGUUUAGUAAAAUAAAAGCAAAUGACAGGAUAGUAUAUAGGACAGGACCCAUUUUUGGUAAGAAAAAUAUUUCAGUAAAUAGCUCUAUCAUCUAGCCAUCCAUUCAUCCCAAAAUCUGGAGGGACAGACACUCAAUGAGCAGUCUCUUCUGGAAUAAUGGAGGGAUUUCUGCUUUUUAGGUACUAUAAUUCAAUGCACAAAAAAGCAAGAACAUAAAAUAAUUUUUCAUUUUGUUUUUCAGUCCAUUAAAAAAAAGCAACAACUCUUAAAAACGAAACCAAAUCGUUGUACUCUGGAAAUAUCUGUGCUGAACAAUUAUGCUCAAAGAUCAUGAAGAUAUGGUUUCCUGGUCUCAAAAAGCCCAUCGGCAUUAACCCACUUGCCCUUAAGAUUCCUCACUCAGCUCACCAAGGUCAUUACCCCAAUUUUCAACCUUUCAUUGUAGAGUCCUGCUUUCUACCUAACAUUGCUAAUAAGUGCUGCUCUUUGCAAUGGAAGAUGAUGCCAGCGACUCACUUUCUAGAGGGCCACAUGCUCUGAGAUACUGCUUCUAGUGGGAAGAAUUUGUAUUGUCAACCUUUCGAGGUUUUUAUUCUUUUCCAUGUAAAAUGAAUUGGUCAUUAGGGAACUCAAACCUUGAAGCUGGCAUUGACACUACACUGUUCUAGGGGACUAAGAGAAACAUUGAUCACAAUGCACACCGAAUCCUAAAUGAAAUAAUUAUUUCUGAAUGAUUGCAUUAGGAAGAGAUUCAUGGGACUUUAAUCCUGGGAGGGACAUUAAAAGUCACUUAGCAUAACCUCAUUCUUUUACACUGGCAGUAAGGACUCUGAGAGAAUUUUUUUAAAUAGGUGAGGCUACUACAGCUCAAAGAGCAAAGUGAUAUGCCCAAGGUCUAAUUUGUGUUAGUGGAUUGUAACCCUGGCUGUACUAUGCUAGAGUACGUGCAAGAGUUGUUGAAAAGUACUGAUGGUUGGAUCUUACUGUGGACAAAUGAAUCUGAUUUUCUGGGUCUGGGGUUUGGGUUACUGGCACUUUUUAAAGCUCUCCAGCUGGCUCUAUCUGAGGCCAGGGUGAAGUACUGAGCUAGACAAGAACCCAGCCCCCAAUCCAGAGACUGCCAGGGUUAUCAAACCCAUGGCAGUCUCUCAUUCCCCACCCCUGAGCCCAUGGCAGACUUGAUUCAGGGAUCACUAAACUCUUUCCUGCUGUGCCUAAUCUGGCCUUCUCGUAUUGUUCAUGGAAGCUGCCACCUGUCCGUGAGCACUGGGAAGACAACCUGAGACAUGGCUACAGCCAGGCACUGUAUCUUGGUUCCUCUAAAUAAAAUCACACAAAUAUCAGAAAGUAUUAUUCUGGUAACACCAGGAUUGUAUAUUCUCACAGUCCAGUGUAUUUAUCUAUUGGUCCAUCAAGGCUCAAUGGCGGAAUACCAGGAUGAAAGCCCUGUGUUACUCAGCUGAGCUAGGUCUGAAUACUACUCUGCCAUUUACAACCUAUGUAAUUUUAGGCAAGAUUUUGUGCCUCAGUUUCCUCCGUGUCUCUUCUCUGGUAUUAAUUGCCCACAAAACUGAAACCUGGACCCUCAGUCUUUCCCAGCCUUUUUUUUUAUCUAUCAGAACCCCAAUCCCCUUAAUCUCUGAUACUAACUUGUUCAUACGAACAAAGACUUGGUAAGAGUUAGUGCUCAGGCCUCAUUCCCAAGUACUCAGAGUGCCUGGAGACAGCCUUUUGAAGACACUGACAAUACUUGAACACAAUUUUUUCGUGGGUAUUAUGUACUUCUCUAGCCAGAGAUGAACUUUGCAGUCUCCUAACAAUUAGGAUUCUAUCUAAAUUCUGCUCAAAAGUAACAGCAAAGGAUGUAGGCUGCUGAACUGGAUGCAAACAACCUGACAAUCCCUUUUCCCCACCUCCCUCCUCACCCUGCAGCCUGGGUUACCACUCAGGGCCAGUCUGAGCCUACAUCACACAUGGAAAUGGCCUUAUUCUAGCAGAGACUAGCUACAGUUAGAUCAAGGCUUCUCAGUCCCCACAGGGCUCUGAUCCCUGUUGUUUUUUGGUUGCAAUAUGAGUUCCUUCAGGCUCUCACCCUAAUACUGUUCGUUCUUCCCCAACUCUUGCACCCACUGUCUCCCCUGCUUCCUUGCACUGCUGCCUCCUGGCCAACUUCAUUCACCAUGUCUUCUGGAAUGCCCACUUUAUGGUAAGCAAGCUCCUCAUGCCUUCACCCUGCUGUAACUGAACAUGGCUCUCUUGGGACUGUCUUCCUGAGGUCCUUUCAUUCUCAAAGAGAGAGAUGUCAUUCUUCUCCACCUGAGUUCAAUAGGUGAGGGUGUACCAUCCUUCUGGGAGAGGAGAGAAUAACUGUGAACAAUAGUACCACAUACAGAGUACAUGUCACUUGGAAAAAGUGUUUGUCAUCUUUCUCUCUCAAAGACUUCUUCCAAUUGGUUCAAUUAGUAUCUCAUGGGACAGACUGAAGUCUUAACUUAAUCCUACCUAUGUCUUUAGUGCAGCCUCAGAUUUUCCCAUUCCAUUUCCCCACAUUCACUAUGAAAAUCAAGCCAAAUCAACUUACCUGUAGUUCCUCAAACACACUAAGGCAUCAUCAAGACAUCUACUUUCUCAGGCCAUGUUGUUCUUAUUAUCAUCUUCUAUAAGGAGGAGCAAACUCCCUUCCUCUCACCCUGAUCUAAAUGCCUGUCCUCUAAGAACCCAUUUACUUCUGAGCGCACUCAUUGCACAUCUCAGUAGUAAGCUGUUCACUUGUUUCCUUCACUGACUGAAAGCUCUAAGAGAACACAGGUGAUGUCUUUUGGAACCCAUGUCUCUCUGACCUCAGAAUCUGGGACCUUCCUGACCACACACACACACAUCUCCCACUCUGUGGACAGCACAACACUAGGUGCACCAGGGUACUUUUAGAGGAACACUACUCAUACCAUCUGCAAGUUAGAAGAAAACUUAAUAGGCCGGGGGUGGUGGCUCACGCCUGUAAUACCAGGACUUUGGGAGGCCAAGGUGGAUCAUCUGAGGUCAGGAGUUAGAGACCAGCCUGGCUAACAUGGUGAAACCCCAUUUCUACUAAAAAUACAAAAAAUAUGCCAGGCAUGGUGGUGUGCACCUGUAAUCCCAGCUACUCAGGAGGUUGAAGCAGGAGAGAUUGCUUGAACCUGGGAGGUGGAGGUUGCAGUGAGCCAAGAUCAUGCCAUUGUACUCUGGCUUGGGCGACAAAAGCGAAACUCCAUCUCAAAAAAACAAACAAGCAAAAAAAGAAAACUUAAUAAUCCAACCCUCAUUUCACAGAUGAGCCCAAAGACACUCUGGCUUACUUACAGUGAUUCCAGAGAGUUAGUGACAUAACUCUCCCACCUUCCCCUGUACCACUCAUAGACUUUAAAGAACUUGAAUCUAAUGUCCAAGAUGAAUACAAUAAGCACACAAAUAAUUACAAUUCAAGGAAUUAUAUGAGAAACAGAAAGUCUGAAAGGAGACGGGAGAGGGAGAAAUUACAUCUUUGGGCUGGGGUAGGGUAGGCUAGGAAGAGUAAUCAGGAUUGUGUACCACAGUUCUCAACCUUUUUUGUCUCACGACUUUUUCACACUUAAACAUUUUUUAAAAGAUAUUUGAGGGCACACAGUAGGUGUAUAUAUUUAUGGGGGUACAGGAGAUGUUUUGAUAUGGGUAUGCAAUGUGAAAUAAGCACAUCAUAGAGAAUGGGGUAUCCAUCCCCUUGAGCAUUUAUUCUUUGAGUUACAAAAAACUCAAUUAUACUCUGCAAGUUAUUUUAAAAAUGUACAAUUAUUAUUGACUGUAGUCACUCUUUGGUGCUAUCAAAUAGUAGGUCUUAUUCAUUCUAUUUUUUUUGUACCCAUUAACCAUGUCACCUAUCCUGCCAGGUCCCCACUACCCUUCCCACCUUCUGGUAACCAUCCUUCUACUCUGUAUGUCCAUGAGUUGUUUUGACUUUUAGAUCCUACAAAUAAAUGAGAUCGUGUGAUGUUUGUGUCUGACUUAUUUCACUUAACAUAAUCUCCAGUUUCAUCCAUGUUGUUGCUAAUGACUGGGUCUCAUUCGUUUCUAUGGCUGAAUAGUACUCCCGUAUGUGUAUGUACCACAUUUUCUUUAUCCAUUCAUCUGUUGAUGAACACUUAGGUUGCUUCUAUUGUAAACAGUGCUGCAACAAACAUAGGAGUGCAGAUAUCUCUUCAAUAUAUUGAUUUCCUUUUUUGUGUGUAUAUACCCAGCAGUGGGAUUGCUGGAUCAUAUGGUAGCUCAAUUUUUAGUUUUUUUAAGGAACUUCCAGGCUGUUCUCCAUAGUGGUUGUACUAAUUUACAUUCCUACCAACAGUGUACAAGGGUUUCCUUUUCUCCACAUCCUCACCAGCAUUUGCUAUUGACCAUCUUUUGGCUAUGUCAUUUUAAUUGAUAUGAGACACUACUUCACUGUGGUUUUGAUUUGCAUUUCUCUGACAACCAAUGAUGUUGAGUACUUUUUAAUAUGCCUACUUGUCGUUUGUAUGUCUUAAGAAAUGUCUAUUCAAAUCUUUUCCCCAUUUUUGAUCAGAUUAUUAGUUUUUUUUCCUAUAGAGCUGUUUGGGCUCCUUAUAAUCCCGGUUAUUAAUCCUUUGUAAGAUGGAAAGUUGCUAAUAUUUUCUCCCAUCCUGUGGGUUGUCUCUUCACUUUGCUGGCUGCCUCCUUUGCUGCGCAGAAGCUUUUUAACUUGAUGUGAUCCCAUUUGUCCAUGUUUGCUUUGGCUGCCUGUGCUUAUGGGGUAUUGCUCAAGAAAUGCUUGCCCAGACCAAUGUCCUGGAGAGUUUCCCAGUGUUUCUUUUAGUAGUUUCAUAGUUUGAGAUCUUAUAUUUAAAUAUUUAAUCCAUUUUGAUUUGAUUUUUGUAUAUGGCAAGAGAUAGGGGUCUGGUUUCAUUCUUCUCCAGAGGGAUAUCAAGU